rnacentral:rRNA from 1 species
GCAUAACGCGAAGAACCUUACCCACCUUUGACAUGGCAGGAAUCCUUCAGAGACGAAGGAGUGCUCGCAAGAGAGCCUGCACACAGGUGCUGCAUGGCUGUCGUCAGCUCGUGUCGUGAGAUGUUGGGUUAAGUCCCGCAACGAGCGCAACCCUUGCCAUCAGUUGCUACGAAAGGGCACUCUGAUGGGACUGCCGGUGACAAACCGGAGGAAGGUGGGGAUGACGUCAAGUUCUCAUGGCCCUUAUAGGUGGGGCUACACACGUCAUACAAUGGCCGGUACAAAGGGCAGCGAAGCCGCGAGGUGAAGCCAAUCCCAUAAAGCCGGUCGUAGUCCGGAUUGCACUCUGCAACUCGAGUGCAUGAAGUCGGAAUCGCUAGUAAUCGUGGAUCAGCAUGUCACGGUGAAUACGUUCCCGGGUCUUGUACACACCG